GACGUAGGUGGCGAACGUUAUCCGGAAUCAUUGGGCGUAAAGGGUGCGUAGAUGGCAUAGUAAGUUAGUGGUGGAAAAUCGAGGCUCAACCUCGUGGGAGCUGGUAAUACUGCUAUGCUAAGAGUGCAGGAGAGGUUAACGGAACUCCAUGUGGAGCGGUAAAAUGUGUAGAUAUAUGGAAGAACACCAAUAACGGCGAAGGCAGUUAACUAUUCUGUUACUGACAUUGAGGCGCGAAAGCGUGGGGAGCAAAACGG
rnacentral:rRNA from 1 species